rnacentral:rRNA from 1 species
GACGAACGCUGGCGGCGUGCUUAACACAUGCAAGUCGCACGAAGUGGCGAACGGGUGAGUAACGCGUAAUCAACCUGCCCUUCAGAGGGGAACAACAGUUGGAAAAGACUGCUAAUACCGCAUACUGAAGGAGGGGAUUGCGUCUGAUUAGCGAGUUGGAGGGGUAACGGCCCACCAAGGCGAUGAUCGGUAGCCGGUCUGAGAGGCAGGACGGACAAAGUGGGGCUGAGACACGGCCAAGACUCCUACGGGAGGGAGCAGUGUGGAAUCUUCCGGAAUGGGCGAAAGGCUGACGGAGCAACGCCGCGUGCGUGAUGACGGCCCUCGGGUUGUAAAGCUCUGUUAAUCGGCACGCGGUACCGGAAUAGAAAGCCACGGCUAACAACGUGCCAGCAGCCGCGGUAAUUC